rnacentral:rRNA from 1 species
AUACGUAGGGGGCGAGCGUUGUCCGGAAUGAUUGGGCGUAAAGGGCGCGUAGGCGGCGCGGUAAGUCUGGAGUGAAAGUCCUGCUUUCAAGGUGGGAAUUGCUUUGGAUACUGCCGCGCUUGAGUGCAGGAGAGGUUAUCGGAAUUCCCGGUGUAGCGGUGAAAUGCGUAGAGAUCGGGGGGAACACCAGUGGCGAAGGCGGGUAACUGGUCAGCAACUGACGCUGAGGCGCGAAAGUGUGGGGAGCAAACAGGAUUAGAUACCCUGGUAGUCCAUACUGUAAACGAUGAAUGCUAGGUGUAAGAGGUAUCGACCCCUUUUGUGCCGGAGUCAACACAAUAAGCAUUCCGCCUGGGGAGUACGGCCGCAAGGUUGAAACUCAAAUGAAUUGACGGGG